UCAGCCGUGUGCUCUUUCGGCCUCCGAGAGACUAACAGAGACUGAUAAGCAGGUGCACCUGGGAGGGCUUCGGAUUCGGGAAACCAAUUAUAAUAACCUUGCCUCUUUUAGAAGUAGUAAUGAAUAUGUAUUAGCCCAGGAGUAUAAAAAAUUAGCCGCCUUAUGUAACGGGUGUGUGUCCCAGUGGAGCAGAGACUCC